rnacentral:rRNA from 1 species
AGUGAACGCUGGCGGUAGGCCUAACACAUGCAAGUCGAACGGCAGCACAGGAGAGCUUGCUCUCUGGGUGGCGAGUGGCGGACGGGUGAGGAAUACAUCGGAAUCUGCCCAGUCGUGGGGGAUAACGUAGGGAAACUUACGCUAAUACCGCAUACGACCUUCGGGUGAAAGAGGGGGAUCGCAAGACCUCUCGCGGUUGGAUGAGCCGAUGUCGGAUUAGCCAGUUGGCGGGGUAAUGGCCCACCAAGGCGACGAUCCGUAGCUGGUCUGAGAGGAUGAUCAGCCACACUGGAACUGAGACACGGUCCAGACUCCUACGGGAGGCAGCAGUGGGGAAUAUUGGACAAUGGGCGCAAGCCUGAUCCAGCCAUACCGCGUGAGUGAAGAAGGCCUUCGGGUUGUAAAGCCCUUUUGUUGGGAAAGAAAUCUUUCAGGCUAAUACCCUGGGAGGAUGACGGUACCCAAAGAAUAAGCACCGGCUAACUUCGUG